rnacentral:rRNA from 1 species
GUAGGGAAUAUUGCGCAAUGGGGGAAACCCUGACGCAGCGACGCCGCGUGAGUGAUGAAGGCCUUCGGGUCGUAAAGCUCUGUUGCAGGGGAAUAAAAAAAUGAAGGUACCCUGUGAGGAAGGAUCGGCUAACUUCGUGCCAGCAGCCGCGGUAAGACGAGGGAUCCUAGCGCUGCUCGGAAUCAUUGGGCGUAAAGAGGGCGUAGGUGGCUUGGUAAGUCAGGUGUGAAAGCCCAGGGCUCAACCCUGGAAGUGCAUUUGAUACUGCUGAGCUUGAGUGUCGGAGAGGUUACCGGAAUACCUGGUGUAGUGGUGAAAUACGUAGAUAUCAGGUGGAACACCGGAGGCGAAGGCGGGUAACUGGACGAACACUGACACUGAGGCCCGAAAGCGUGGGGAUCAAACAGGAUUAGAUACCCUUGUAGUCC